rnacentral:rRNA from 1 species
UACAGAGGGUGCGAGCGUUAAUCGGAAUUACUGGGCGUAAAGCGCACGUAGGUGGCUCUGCAAGUCGGGUGUGAAAUCCCCGGGCUCAACCCGGGAACUGCAUUCGAAACUGCAUUGCUGGAGUAUGGGAGAGGGAAGCGGAAUUUCCGGUGUAGCGGUGAAAUGCGUAGAUAUCGUAAGGAAGACCAGUGGCGAAGGCGGGUCUCUGGACAGUUCCUGACGCUGAGGCACGAAGGUCAGGGGAGCAAACGGG